rnacentral:rRNA from 1 species
CCUACGGGAGGCAGCAGUGGGGAAUUUUGGACAAUGGGGGAAACCCUGAUCCAGCCAUGCCGCGUGGGUGAAGAAGGCCUUCGGGUUGUAAAGCCCUUUCGGGAGGAAAGAAAAGCAUUGCUCUAACAUAGCAAUGUGAUGACGGUACCUCCAUAAGAAGCACCGGCUAACUACGUGCCAGCAGCCGCGGUAAUACGUAGGGUGCAAGCGUUAAUCGGAAUUACUGGGCGUAAAGCGUGCGCAGGCGGCUAGAUAAGCCAGAUGUGAAAUCCCCGAGCUCAACUUGGGUAUCGCGCUUGGAACUGUCUAGCAAGAGUUUGGCAGAGGGGGGUAGAAUUCCACGUGUAGCAGUGAAAUGCGUAGAGAUGUGGAGGAAUACCGAUGGCGAAGGAAGCCCCCUGGGCUAAAACUGACGCUCAUGCACGAAAGCGUGGGGAGCAAACAGGAUUAGAUACCCUGGUAGUCCACGCCCUAAACGAUGUCAACUGGUUGUUGGGAGGGUAAACCUCUUAGUAACGAAGCUAACGCGAGAAGUUGACUGCCUGGGGAGUACGGUCGCAAGAUUAAAACUCAAAGGAAUUGACGGGGAACCGCACAAGCGGUGGAUUAUGUGGAUUAAUUCGAU